AUCAGAGACAAACUUUUAUCAUCUAAAAAUUGAAUUAAUUCAACAUGUGCUUCCUCAUUCCUACUGUGAUCUUCAUCCUCACCUUCAGUGUAUGUAGAUACACUUGGGAUGGUUUCUUUGAGUUUCAGCAACCUCAGAUGUCCCAAGAAUUUAGUCUCCCAAACUUCAUAAUUCUUUUCAUCUCCAUCAAAGCAUAGCCUGCUCAAUCGGUUUCCUGCAUCCCUCCUGGGCC